GAACGCUGGCGGCGUGCCUAAUACAUGCAAGUCGAGCGAACGGACGAGAAGCUUGCUUCUCUGAUGUUAGCGGCGGACGGGUGAGUAACACGUGGAUAACCUACCUAUAAGACUGGGAUAACUUCGGGAAACCGGAGCUAAUACCGGAUAAUAUUUUGAACCGCAUGGUUCAACAGUGAAAGACGGUCUUGCUGUCACUUAUAGAUGGAUCCGCGCUGCAUUAGCUAGUUGGUAAGGUAACGGCUUACCAAGGCAACGAUGCAUAGCCGACCUGAGAGGGUGAUCGGCCACACGGGAACUGAGACACGGUCCAGACUCCUACGGGAGGCAGCAGUAGGGAAUCUUCCGCAAUGGGCGAAAGCCUGACGGAGCAACGCCGCGUGAGUGAUGAAGGUCUUCGGAUCGUAAAACUCUGUUAUUAGGGAAGAACAUAUGUGUAAGUAACUGUGCACAUCUUGACGGUACCUAAUCAGAAAGCCACGGCUAACUACGUG
rnacentral:rRNA from 1 species